rnacentral:rRNA from 1 species
UGAGGAACAUGACCUUCGGCGGGGGAUAGCCGGCCCAACGGCCGGGUAAUACCGCGUACGACCAUUUGAGGACAUCCUCGAAUGGUGAAAGCAGCAAUGCGCCGAUGGAGUGCCUCGCGGCCUAUCAGCUAGUUGGUGAGGUAACGGCUCACCAAGGCGAACGACGGGUANCUGGUCUGAGAGGANCGC